GACGAACGCUGGCGGCGUGCUUAACACAUGCAAGUCGAACGGAAAGGCCCUGCUUGCAGGGUGCUCGAGUGGCGAACGGGUGAGUAACACGUGGGUGAUCUGCCCCUUACUUUGGGAUAAGCCUGGGAAACUGGGUCUAAUACUGGAUAGGACCAUGCUGUAGGCGGUGUGGUGGAAAGAUUAGUUUCGGUAAGGGAUGAGCUCGCGGCCUAUCAGCUUGUUGGUGGGGUAAUGGCCUACCAAGGCGUCGACGGGUAGCCGGCCUGAGAGGGUGGACGGCCAGAUUGGGACUGUGAUACGGCCCAGACUCCUACGUGAGGCAGCAGUGGGGAAUAUUGGACAAUGGGCGCAAGCCUGAUGCAGCGACGCCGCGUGGGGGAUGACGGCCUUCGGGUUGUAAACUCCUUUCAGCCAUGACGAAGCCCUUGCGGUGACGGUAGUGGUAGAAGAAGCACCGGCUAACUACGU
rnacentral:rRNA from 1 species